rnacentral:tRNA from 1 species
UCCCUCUUAGCUUAGCUGGUAAAGAACCUGCCUAUAAUGCAGGAGACCCCGGCUUGAUUCCUGGGUUGGGAA